GCAACAGUAGCUCAGCCCUAAGAGCAUCGGCCUUGUAAGCCGAAAGUCGAGGGUUAAACUCCCUCCCGUUGAU
rnacentral:tRNA from 1 species